rnacentral:rRNA from 1 species
UACGUAGGGGGCGAGCGUUGUCCGGAAUCAUUGGGCGUAAAGAGCGUGUAGGUGGACUGGAAGGUCUGGUGUGAAAGCCCGGGGCUCAACCCCGGAGGGUCACUGGAAACCAACAGUCUUGAGUCCGGAAGAGGAGAGUGGAAUUCCUGGUGUAGCGGUGGAAUGCGCAGAUAUCAGGAGGAACACCGAUGGCGAAGGCAGCUCUCUGGUACGUGACUGACACUGAGACGCGAAAGCGUGGGGAGCGAACAGGAUUAGAAACCCCCGUAGUCC